GCCCGCCGCCGCUUCUGCGCUCCCCGGCCCAUCGGCCGGUACUGCUGUGGGCCUAGGGGCCAGGGCGUCCCCGCUGCGGCUCGCGUUCCUCUCCUUUCGGCUGCGGCCCGCCGCAGGGUUCGCGCUCCUACCCAUCUUCCUCCGCCUCUGGCUUCAGCUGCUUCCCGGUGCCUGGCGCCCUACCCGUUACAGCCUGCCGCCCUCUCUGUCCUCCCAGGGCUGGGGGUGGUGGGGCGGGGGGUCUCUGAGCAAAGGCAACGAGUGCAGGGUCAUACCCUGAUCCAGUGGCGUGCAAGGCGGAGUCCAUCCCAGCCUCAUUUGAAUUCUCAAAUGAUGGAUUUGAAAAUCACAGGUGUGCACAUGAAACCUAGGCACGCAGAGCCCAUAUAUGUGCCUGUGCCCUUGCAUAAGUCCACACCGACCUCCUGCACUCAUGUGAGCAGGGACUUCCUCCACACGCAGGCACACCCGAGGUGACGUUCACACAUCCCACACGUGCACAUAAACAGUCACAUCUGCAGAAGCCCUCACAGGUACCCAGUCACACAAAGUGCACACAUUCAUGAACCCACACACCUACCCGUGGAUGGAUCCCCAGUACAAACUUCACUGACCAUGCCAGGACUGUGAGCUUCCUGCAGAACAGGUGCUCGGUUUUCAGUCUGAGUGCCUGAUACAGUCUGUGUUGGAUAAUGGCCUGUAUUGGGCAGCGAAUGGGAAGGCUGUUCCAUAAUAUGUGGGUGUCCCCAGGUCAGGGUGUCCCCACCACUGGAUAGUACCGUUCCUUCUCCACUGUCACCCUGCCUGGCCGCACCCUCCCCUGGUUCCUAGACAUUGGGCCCAGAGCACACAGCUUGAGGGGAGCUCAUCUGCAAAGCCCCCUCUUGAACGAUAGGGAUGAGGGGGUCCAAGAGGUCUCAUAGAGAGGGCUCCGUUGCCAUUGGUGGGUCAUUUUCUAGAGCAGUUGAAGUUCAUUCAUUCAUUCGUGGAGAGAAAGUGCAGGGGGGCAGCCCUGGAAGGCACAGGUAGACAUCAUUGUGGCUUCGAGCAUUAAAUUAUUUAUGGGCCGCCAAGACUGGGUGCAAGGCCGGGGAGUGAGCACCUCUUCAGGAGUCCCUGAGGACUUUCUCCUCCCUCGAGGACAGGGAUCGCAUCUAAGAUGUCUCCUGCUGCUCCUGCUUUUACUGCCUUCCUCAGCUGAAUUCACAGCAGGCAGGAAGGGGCAACAUUAGUACUAACAGCAGCGUUGAUCUGCGUACUACCAAGGGUAUCGACAGUGUGGCAUUCAUUUAAAUACUCCUUUAUUAAUUUAGGAUCCCAGUUACUAUUACUGCCAAGGUUAUCCAUCUCAACACACUUUAGUAUGACCCACACCACAUGGCUGGGGCCAGGUUAUUAAUAAUUUCCAUGGUCUUGAUCAUUUAAGCAUUACACGAACAAUUACAAACAGCAAUGGUUACUAUUAUUAGCAGGAUUUCUAUGAUUAAGCCAGAGCCCAAGACUGAGAGGUAGUGCUGAGUGCUGGUAGACAGAGGGCCAUUGAGUAUACAGAGGAGAGAGCACCGUAUGAGGGCCAAGUGAGGAAACAUGUUCACUGGAGGAAGGACUCAAUCUCUUCUUUAUUCGUCCAGCCUGGGUUUACUGAGCACCUACUCUAGGGCACAUACUCUUCUAGCCCCUGGGACUCAGUGGUGAGCAAAGGCAGGAGGCCUCUCAGAGCUGGUGUUCUAGUGUGUUAAUAACUUGUUGAGAGGGGUAUUUUCUAAUGUAACAUCUUGGCUUGGUCAUACUGGAGGUCGUGUAGCUGUGAUCAGGAUGUGUCUUUGCCGGGACGUCUGCGUUACCAUGGCCACAGCCACCUACACCAGAACCAGCACUGCUAGGACCACCAUAAGCAUCACCACCUCCAUCAUCACCACUCCUGUCACCAUCACGGCCACCUAUAGCUACCCCAGCACCACUAUGACCACUGUCACCACACCACCACCAGAGAGAGCAUCACCACCAGAACAACCCCGAUGGCCACCAGGUGACCAUGGUGACCACCGUCAAGCCAUCGCCACUGUGACUAGUGCAUCAUCACCAUCACCGCCACCUGCCCCAGGCAUCUGCACCGUCACAGCUGCAGGGAUUCCUGUUCCCAGCCAGAGCUGGCUGGCCCAUUCCGCUCCUACCCCGCUGUCACCUGCCCCUGCAGGAAGCUGGGCUCCCAAACACAGUGCCCAAGUUCAAGCACAGAGGGGUGAGAGGUGGGCGUGGAGACAAGAAUUUCUGCAGGAGAGAAAGGCUGAGGGAAGGAGGAAAUGCAGGCCUCUCGCCAGCUGCAUCCCAUCUGCCCUGGGCAAUCAGCCAGGCAAGCCUCCCAGGCUUGCCCUGCCCCACAGGACCACAUGCCCAGCAUCUCCCACCUCGGAGCCACCGUGAGAACUGCCUCUCCUCCUUUGACAUCACAGUGGAGUUGGCCUUAGGCUUCCGUCUUCUGGUCUGCACCCUUCAAAGCCAGCUCCUACCUGGUGCUGUCCAGGACCCCAGGAUCUGGUCGAUUCUGACAACCUCGGUGGUAGGGACUUUGCAUCUUGGGGGAUGGUGCCCACUGGGCAGUGCUACCCCCGGAGAUUUCCGGGCCUUGUGGUAAGAAUGCAGAGGGGGUGCAGGGGAACUGGGUGGGCAUCAGGGCACCCAGCCCCCUCGCUGGCUCUGGCGGCCACCCCAGCCUCUCACCUCCUUCCUGAGCACAUCUUCCUCAAGGAGGUUCUUCCCAGCUCAAAACUCCCAUCUUCCCUGUACCCACGGAUUCUGAAGGGUUCGGUCCUCGUUCUUACUUUGUAUCUUGCAUUCAAGGACAAGCAAGAUGUUUUAAAGGAAAACUGAGUAGGGGCUAAACCAUAGCUGGAGCAUUGGGAAGCCCACAACGGGGAAGCUGAGAGAGUCAGCCGUGGGGACCCGUGGACCAUUUAUUUGCUGUGUGGCCUCAGGCCAGUGCCUUCCUUGCUCUGAGCAUUUCCUCAUCUGUAAAAUAGGCCUGAGAUAGGGCCCUCCUAGACUUACUUUGAGGAAUCCAGAAGUACUGGGUGUGAAUGGGCUGGAAAGUUGGAGGAGCCUUCCCGCCUCAGUUAGCCUCCUGUUUGAUGCUAUUAGUGAUGGGGCUUCUGGCCUACAGGCUGCAGACCAGAUGAGGGGUGAGAUGACAUUUCAGCCCUAGACUGGGCCCCAGGAUCCUUCCGGUUGCAGAUAAGAGCCAGAACAGUGCUAGGCCUUGGGCUCCAGCAAAAUUCCCACGGGAAUCCGUGGAGGACGAGACAUCCCAGACCCAAGCUUAUCUGGACUCCAGCGCGUCUGGGAAGUGGGGUCAAGUGCCAUUGUCUGGGUUGGUUUCCAGCAGGCAGGGCGAAGGCCAUGGACGGGAGAGUCUGGAUUAAGCCAUGCUGCCUCCUGCUGUGGGGGAAAACAGUCAGGGGCCAGGGAGGGGGAACUGAAGGAGAAGCCUCGCUUCCCAGUCCCACCCAUCUCGAGGCGGGGGCUGUUCUUCUGGGGGACCCCUGAAACCUGGCUGGAAACGUCAGGGCUGAAGGUGGCGCCCAGCGCCUUCUGCACCGGCCCUGCCAGUGUCACCAACUGUACUUGCCCAAGGACCACCAUCCUAGGGAUGGCGAAGAUGUGGCCCUGGGCUGGGGACACUCUAGUCUGAGGGGGACAGAGUCCUUGCCAGGGAUGCUCCACUACUCUGAGGAGGGACUAGAGUCCUCCGGAACCUGGAGUGGAUCUUCCAGGCACGCCCCUUCUCCCCUCCCCUCUCCUCUCCUGUUCCAGGGCAGAGCCACAGCCCAAGUCCUUGGUCCUUGGAAACCUCAGGCUGCGAGGGGUUCCCCAAAUAGCAGCGUUUUGCACCUGGAGUUCCCAUUACACAUUGUAGGCUGGGAGUUGGAUUCAGAAGUAGAAGGCCGCCCAGACAUUAACUCCAGCUGGGGAAACUGAGGCCCACCAGCACACUGCACAUUCCAGGGCCGGGGGCGGAGUGUGGAGAGGGGUCUAUAAAGCAGCUGCAGCUCAGCAUGGGAAGAAGGCCCUGGGGGAGCAGGUGAUGGGGUUCUCCCUGUGUCAUGGCCCCUGGGGCCUGCUUCUCCACCCUGCCCCCACUCCCUGGGGAGGGCCCAGGCGUUUGCUCAGCCCACGGGUGCCCAGAAGGGCAUGGGGUGGGGCAGCUCGGGAGGAGCUGUGGCCGAGGAAGUGCUGAGUCGGCACUCAGAGCCUCGUCUCCUGCUCCAUUAUUCAUCCCGGAGGGGUCACCCUCCCCCUGCCCACCCAGCCCGGCUCAGAGAUGCCUCCCCACCCGCCCCACCCCAGGGCUCCCCCCUCAGCUGGAAACUCUUAAGCAAAAAGGUCGUCAAGAUGAUUAAAUGCGCACAGAUUUUCAGCUCUUUUCCACUUUAAUUAAAAAUGUGCGCUCUGUUCAGAGGAAGCUGGAGACGGAACAGCAGCUCCCAAAGGCUCCUGGGCUGAAAAGCGAGGGCAAAACACUCCAAGGUGUCUGAGGGCCAGGCUUGGAGUCCUGGGGUCAGGGGCUUGGCCUGGAGCUGCCAGGGAUCCUGCUCACUGUCUCCAAGGAGGGCUGGAGUCUCACACAGAAAAUUCAGGAUGGAGCAGGCCAAGGUCCAACCACAGGUGCCUGGGAGGGGAGCCCUGGGCGUGGGGCAGCAAGGGGGGUUGAGCGGGACCACAAGGACCAGGGGGAGCCAACACAGCACACACCACAGCAGAGAUGAAGUGGGAAGCAGGGUUCAGUCUCUCUGCCCCUCCUCUGUUGGGGGGGGGCGACUCAAGAAGGGACUCUGGUGGAGACGCCUGAGACAUCCACAGGGCCAGGAGGGAAGGGAGAGGUGGGGCUGGCAGGCCUGCAGGAACGACAGGACGGGAGCUGGCCCUGGGACGCAAAUCCCGGUUCCGGUCCGGCUCCAGCCCUGGCAGACCUGGAGUGGAGCUUCCCUCUGAGCGUGGGAGACAGGACAGUGGCGUGUGAAGCUCCUCUCGUGUUCUGGACCGCCUCGGCGCUGCCUCCAGUGGGAAAGGAGGCGGCCCAGGGAUGAGGCUGCCCACCGCUUCCUGUCCCUGUGCCGCUGGGAGUGGGGCCUUGGUCCUCCUCCCUGCCUGGUGAACCGCCAAAAAAGAAUGCAGUUCCCCAUCGCUUCCAGGGAAGGGGCCAAACUCCACAGAGGAGGGGCCUCCAGACCCUUCAGUAUCCAGCCUCGACUCUCUGCAGCUCCCCCUUUUCGCAGUGCUGGGGCCUUGCACAAGGCAGGCAAACGCGCCACCCAUUAGCUGUACCCGCAGCCCCGAGCCUCUUCUUUCUCACCAGCUCCCUGUCCCAGGAGAAUCCCACUAGCAAGGUUGGGGGGACCAGGAGAGAAAGGUGACCAUGCAGCAAGGCCCAGAGCAGGCAGCACCUGAGCUUGGCCUUGAGCAAGGGCAGCGCCCUGAGGAAGGCAGUGAGGACAUUCCCAGACGAGGGGGCACGGAAUCGAGGCACCAAGCAUCCGUGACACGGGUGCCGGGUUUCAAGAUGCUGGGCAGUCAGCUAGGGGCACUGGGGGCUGAGGGGAACAAGUGGGUAGAGAAGGAACUGGCGGACACUUUGGAGGUCAACUCUGAAGGCCCCUGUCCCUACCCUUUGCGGGCACCCAGCUCUGAGUCAAAAGCCUCUGCCUCCCCGAGAGUCCUGGUUCAUGUGGGCUCUCUCCUCUGAGCCUGGUGGCUGUCUGGCCACCUCCAGCCCCUGUCUCCUUGGUUAGUCUGGCCUCUCCCUGGCUGUCUUGACCAAAGGGACAUCCGCGGAUCUCUCGUGUGACUUCUCCCACUGGCCCCAUCCCAUGGGCUACACUGCAAAAUGGCACCCAGACCAGCCUGGCCCUUGCUUCUUCAGGACACUUGCCCAACACAGAAGAGGGCUGCUGGCCCGGUCCUACAUGAGUGGGGGACCCGAGGCAUGGACCCUCAACAGCCCGAGACCCCCGAGGCCCUGUGCCUUUGGCCUCUCUUUCAUUGCUCCACUUUUAGAAGACGCAGGGACCCCGAGGCAGGGAGCAGCCCUAUUUCGACAGAGCCCAAAUGGAGCAGCUCGGGGCGGGGUAGGCAGCAGGGCAGAAAGCAAGUCUCUGUUGGCGGGCACGGCAUUGCCCGGCACUCGCUCUUCCUCCCCAGUGUUAAUUAUCAAAAUUAACCGAACACUAUAAAUAACCCAACUCGGAGACUUGAAGAGCCUCUCUUCUAAUUAAUUCAUUUUCAAUCAAGACAUUUCUAUGCCCCCUACCCUAGAAUCCGAGGGAUGACCAGCAUCCCCCAUCCCCUCCCCCGUGCUCCCUAGCGCUGGAAGCUCAGAGAAAAGAAAGAGCGGAGGAAAAAUCAGUCUGCUUUCUUGGAAGGGGGUGGCCUAUAAAUAACCGCAUAUUGGUGCGCUUGAUGGACGAUAUUGGAGUCUGGAUUGGCUUUGGUUGGGAUGAGGACAGGGGGAGGUGGGGCCAGGGUGGCAGAGACUUCCAUCUGCCACCUCGUUUACUGGGCAAUAAAUUUUAAAGCAAGACUGUGAGUACCGUCCAAGGCCUCGGUGUUGGCUGGAGCUGGGGAGACUGAUCGAUAGAGGAGGAGGAUGGGGAAGGGGGAGAAAGAAAGAGAGAGAGGGAGAGAAAACUGCAAGCUCUCAAAAAUCCGGAGAGCAUGAGAAACCGGAAGAGGGA